GAUGCAGUAGCAAAUAUUCCUGGACCUUAGACCCUCACAGUAAUAUUAACGACAUAAAUACACCAUUUCUGGCGAGGAAUGUUUGAAAAGAUACAUAUUUCAACUCUGUUAUGGGAAAAAUAUCACUGUGAGCAAUGCUUACUGUAAAUAAUCUGGGUUGAUGCUAAACCGAUUUUGGAAAAGGAAUGUCAUGGGUUCAGACACAAAAAAAAUAUUUUUCUUGGCAGAAAGCAGAAGUAUGCUCACUGUAAAUAAUCUGGUGUUGUGCUGUGCCAGCUAAGGAG